AUUUCCCUGGGGAGUUCGUGAUUGCCCUAUAGCUUCUGAACCAAUAUAUUUAGAAAGGGAGCACGUAUCAUUGGAGUGGUGUGCACGCCCGGCUUGACCGGGAAGCCUAAUAUUUCAAGUACAGCGCCCACCGUUAGACCUGGUUCUAACUUAUACGGUAACACGGCAUCUCCGGGGUCCCU
rnacentral:other from 1 species